rnacentral:lncRNA from 1 species
CACGGCUUUAUUUUUAGAUCCAGUAAUUUUAUCUUUUGGGUUUCGGAGGGGUUUGGAAAGAAAGAGAGAGAGGGAAAAAAAAAAAAAAAAGCCUUUUUUUUUCUUUUAAUUCUUUUUCUCCACUUUCGCCACACGAACGGCUCUCAGAGCAGAAAGUUACGGGGAAAAAAAAUAGCGAAAACUUGGAGAUAUUUUCCCUCCUCAUUUACUUUUUCUUCGCAAACAGCGGUGCUUUUGGGGGGGACCUUUUCCUCCUUUUUUUUUUUUUUUUUUUCCUUGCUGGUGUAUCGCCGCGCGUUUCGCCUCCACAAUAGGUUUAUUCUCCAGCCCUCCGGGUCGAAGUGUGUUUCAGUUACAAAUCGGGAUUUUUUCGCUCCUCUCUCCCCUCUCUGCCUCAGAGGAUCUGCAGUUUCAAAAAGCCGAUUGAACACGGCGUGAAAGCGUGAGGCUGACGACUCCCCCGCCUCCUACCGCCACUCUCUCUAGUCCUCGUUCCGUGCCCCGCAAGGAGGAGCCCCCCGCGGAACCCCUGGCGCAUCGCAUCCCCGCUUUCCCCCCCUCAUGUCCCCAGCACCUCGCACCCCUCGUGGAUGUCACCAGCAUCGCAGUUUCAAGGCUGGGGAUGGUGCUCCCAGCUCAGCCGGGCGCUUUCAUUCAUAAAAUGGCAAGAUUGUAUCCAUGAAUGUGUGUAUAAUGAACCCAGAAGGAAUGCAGCACUAAAAGAAGCCUUUGUAAUGUUGCUAUUUUAAGGAGACCCUUGGGUAUGGCACGUGUUGAACUGAGUUUCUCCAACAUCUUACAACAAACCAAAAUGUUUAGAUCCUCCUACUGAUGUAAGACAGCAUAAAAAAAAUACAUAAUCAAUCUAAACUGGCUAAGGUUUUGACCAGGAAUUAUUGCUCCUGUGAAUUGGCUCUGUAUUGUAGCUAACUUUUACACAGCCUAAUAAUAAACAUCUCCUCCUCCCAGCUGGGUGAAUGUUUCCCCUCUGCUGGAGAUCAGGUCCCAGUCUGGAUAAAACACCUCUUGUCCUUUCUCUCCUCGGUCACUCAGGUUCAGUGAAACAUCAUGACUUACAUCAGCCAAAGCCUUUGAUCAGGGAGGGAAAGGUCUGACAUGGAUGGGGUUGGCAGCCACGCUGCAAGAAUCCCUCAUUGUGCAAGAAGCCAGUCCAAUGACCGACUGUCACCAAGGGCUGAUGCUUUGGACCCAGAAAGACACAAGUGGGAUGGAGAUCAGAGCCCUGGGCUUUUCCCCGCAGACCAGCAACUGGUGCCAUUUCUGGCUGAUUCUCUACUUUUCUCUUCCUAGUGAGGGUCUUUUGUUAUUUAUCAGCUCCUUUCAAAGCAACAGCCUGAGAGAUUUCACAAUACUUUUCACAUAUGGUUACUCAGCCUGGGGCUCUCCACAGCUUAGCUGUUUCAGUGAUAUUUGCACAGCACUGAGCAACAGCAUUCCUGACCUGCAGGAGAAGUGAGUGCCUCAAACCUCCUUUUCUCCAUAUACACAAGAUCUUUUUUUGCUCUUAAAAAACCCCAGACCCCUCUCCCCAUCCCUGCCAGUUGCACGGCAGACUGGAUGUCCCUGGCAGCACACUUGGGCUUGCAUCCAUUUUUCUUCUUUGUGUGUGUGUGCGUUGUCAUCCAAUGCAUGGCCAGAACCAAAGGAAAACUCAUGUGUGUGUUGUCAUCCAAUGCAUGGCCAGAACCAAAGGCAAACUCCAUUUGGGAGGUGAGCAAGGAAAACCCCUCCAAAACAGCCAGGAGCUGAAAAGAUUUGGCAAGCUUUGCAGGAGAAAACUGCCAGCAGGGAAAGACGAGGUGGAGGCAUUACUCUGACAGAAGAAGCUCUGAUUAGCAGAUUAUCACUUAAGUGAUGUUGAUCCCAGCCACGCUGCCUUCCAAAUGAGCCCUUUCACAGCUGCCAGCUGCACCACGGAGUCGUGAAUGUAAAUGAGUGGGCCAGAUCCUCUGCUGGCAUCCAUCGACGUGGCUUUGAUGGACCAUCCUGGAUCUACAACAGCCGGAGGAGUGUGGCUGUCGUGGGAGCCUGACUUGCUAUGCAGAUUUCUUUGAGAGCCUGUGGGAAAGGGCCUGAAGCUGGAUGUACUGCAGGAUAGGGCAGCAUCAACUGCACAGCUGGAGGGACCCUUGAGACUUUGACUUUUGCUGCCAAACAAAGCCAUCUUUAAGGCAUACUUGACCUCUGGCCACGUCCAUCCAAUCUGACAGACUGGUCUUCGGAGAAUGGUGACCAAGAAUAAGCUCCAUGUCCCACAUGCCACCUGUUCAUCUGCACCGCUCCCUCUCCAGCAGCUCAUGGGCCAUGCCCAGCCUAUGUGUGACACCUCUCUGGCUGCUCAGAUGGAAAGUAAGAGCUUGGAGAGUGAGGACAGCAUGGAGUUAUGGAAGACAUGGCUACAAGAGCAUUCUUUCUCCAUCUCCAUGUGCUUCUGAAGGACCAGUCUGAUUCUGGCUCCUGCCAAGUUAGGAUAUGCUAUGAUUCUGUGAACACUUUUUGCAGCAAGUCAGCCAUAAGAAACAACAUACUCUCAGACAAUCAAGCCUCCAAAUUAAGGUGGGGAGACUUGUUGUGAAGGAGAUGGUUUUUUUUUUCCUACUGUAGAAGGGAUGUUCAAUGCUAUAGUGACAAGGAACAAUUCUUCAGCCUUAGACAGCAGAAAGAAGAAACAUAAAGAGACUGUACAGUUCUUGGGACACCGAGACAACUAUCUACGUGCUUUGUGGAAGCAGAGACAAGUAUGAGAUUUGGCUUUCUGGGCUAUGAGGGCACACAGCUGGCUCACAUCCAGCUCCCAUCCACCAUUUAGAUAAGAUACUAUUGCUUUUAAUAAAGACAAGUCAAAGAUCUUCUCCUAAGUGCUCUUAAAGAACUCCAGCAUUGUGUCUACAAUAAUCCAUCCGCCUUAAAGGAUCCAGCAGUACAUCACCACCAGUGGAUAUAAGAAGUAAUUAGUCAUCAUUUAGGGAAGUAAGAUUUAACAGUUAUUUUGUUGGCAGAAGUGCCGUGAUAAAAAUGGUACUCUGAAAGUUAUUUGGUAUUUCUCAUUGUUGCCAGAGUUCUGAACAUUUUGAUAGGAUGAACAUAGACUUCGGUAGGAAAGUUGUGGAUUUUUUCCCCUCCAUUUAGUAGAAAUAUAAAUGUUACAAAAUAAAUAAUGAUAGAAUAUAUGUGUAUAUAUUUUCAAUGCAUAUUUUAAAAUGCAUAUGAAAUGCAUUUUUUAAAAUAUUUUGUUCAAAUAUUUUUACUAAUGUUGUAUACCUUGCAUCUGUGAAGAGGGUUAUCCCUUAAACAUCCUUUCUUCAGACAGUACUGGGAUUCAUCCUCAGGCCCCGUUAUCUUGCUCUACGUUUCCUAGAGUCCAUCUAUAUAAUAAAUCAGAAUACUGCAUGGUUACACAUCGUAAUUAUUUUUUAAAAUUAUUUUUUAUUUUUUUGCUGAUUGGGGAAAUGGUGAAAACUGGUUUUUGCAUAUUUCAACAAUGUUACUCAGCCAAGUAAAAGAACAAGGGAGCAGAAUGGAAGAGAAAUGAAGAAAUGGAAGGAAGGAAGGAAGGAAGGAAGGAAGGAAGGAAGGAAGGAAGGAAGGAAGGAAGGAGGGAAGGAGGGAAGGAGGGAAGGAAGGAA